AACGAACGCUGGCGGCAUGCCUAACACAUGCAAGUCGAACGAGACCUUCGGGUCUAGUGGCGCACGGGUGCGUAACGCGUGGGAACCUGCCCUCAGGUUCGGCAUAACUCCCCGAAAGGGGUGCUAAUACCGGAUAAUAUCUUCUGACCAAAGAUUUAUCGCCUUUGGUUGUUCACGCGUUGGAUUAGCUAGUUAUUACGGUAAAAGCAUACUAAGGCGACGAUCCAUAGCUGGUAUGAGAGGAAGAUCAGCGACACUGGGACUGGGACACGGCCGGGACUCUUACGGGAGGGAGGAAUGGGGAAUAGAGGACAAUGGGGGGAGGGAUGAUCCAGCAAUGACGGGAAAGUGAUGAAGGCAUUGAGGUUGAAAAGCGCAAGUAACCGGGAUGAUAAUGACAGUACCGGGAGAAUAAGCUCCGGCUAACUCCGUG
rnacentral:rRNA from 1 species